UCCGAUAUGGUGUAGUGGCUAACAUUAUCGCCUCUCAUCGAAACUCGAAACGCAAAUGAAAGCGCGAUAGCCCGGGGUUCGAUUCCCCGUGUCGGAA